rnacentral:tRNA from 1 species
UGUCCCGUAGCUCAAUAGCAGAGCCUCCGACUGAUAAUCGGAAGACGCAGGAGCGUAACCAGCCGGGACAACCA